UACAGAGGGUGCGAGCGUUGUCCGGAAUCACUGGGCGUAAAGGGCGCGUAGGCGGCCUGUUAAGUCGAACGUGAAAUCCCCGGGCUCAACCCGGGAACUGCGUCCGAUACUGGCAGGCUUGAAUCCGGGAGAGGGAUGUGGAAUUCCAGGUGUAGCGGUGAAAUGCGUAGAUAUCUGGAGGAACACCGGUGGCGAAGGCGGCAUCCUGGACCGGCAUUGACGCUGAGGCGCGAAAGCCAGGGGAGCGAACGGG
rnacentral:rRNA from 1 species